rnacentral:lncRNA from 10 species
ACCAAGAGGGAAGUCUGCCCCCAAGAUCCAGUCACCUUCUACCACGCCCCAGUUCCAACAUUGGGGAUUACAAUUUGACAGGAGAUUUGGGUGGGGACACAGAUCCAAACCAUAUCAGGAAGAAAGGAGUAAGCAAGAUGAAUGCAGAGAAAGUGGAACAGAGCAUGUAAGAAGAGCCAGUGUUAUAGAACAAUAGGAGGAAGUAGGCUUAAAAAAACUAAAAUGUAGAGAAAUAGGAAAUUAAUAAUUGUUUUACAGAUGCCAAAGAGGCAAAGUUUAAAACUAGGAGUUGCUGGAUAUCAAAAGCUACAAAAAAGGCUGCAGAGAAUGACACGAGGAAAUUGCGUGACUGUAUCAGUCAUUAGGGAGUUAUCAGUUUUAUAUGAAAUCUGUAAUUCUUAUCACAACAUAAGAUCAUAAAGCAGAAAUGGUAAAAUCACAAACGUAACAUCUAUAGAAUUACCAUAAGCCUGGAGUUCCUAUCUUUAUAUUUAAAUGUAUAAUUG